rnacentral:tRNA from 1 species
GCCUGGGUAGUACAAGGGUUAACACACUGGGCUGCUAACCCAAAGGUUGGAGGUUCAAAUCCACCCACAGGUG